UACGAAGGGGGCUAGCGUUGCUCGGAAUUACUGGGCGUAAAGGGCGCGUAGGCGGCGCUGCAAGUCAGGCGUGAAAUCCCGGGGCUCAACCUCGGAACUGCCUUUGAUACUGCAAAUCUCGAGUCCGAUAGAGGUGGGUGGAAUUCCUAGUGUGGAGGUGAAAUUCGUAGAUAUUAGGAAGAACACCGGUGGCGAAGGCGGCCCACUGGAUCGGUACUGACGCUGAGGUGCGAAAGCGUGGGGAGCAAACAGG
rnacentral:rRNA from 1 species